rnacentral:rRNA from 1 species
UACGAAGGGGGCUAGCGUUGCUCGGAAUCACUGGGCGUAAAGGGUGCGUAGGCGGGUCUUUAAGUCAGGGGUGAAAUCCUGGAGCUCAACUCCAGAACUGCCUUUGAUACUGAGGAUCUUGAGUUCGGGAGAGGUGAGUGAACUGCGAGUGUAGAGGUGAAAUUCGUAGAUAUUCGCAAGAACACCAGUGGCGAAGGCGGCUCACUGGCCGAUACUGACGCUGAGGCACGAAGCGUGGGGAGCAAACAGG